GGGGAUGUGGCGAAAUUGGUAUACGCGCAGCGUUCAGGGCGCUAUGGGCACUAGCCCGUGGGAGUUCGACUCUCCCCAUCCCCA
rfam:Parcubacteria bacterium GW2011_GWA2_46_10 TX29_C0003, whole genome shotgun sequence.